AUCCAGCUGACCAGUCCCAAGUAGGACGAAACGAACCUCCUGCAU
rnacentral:hammerhead_ribozyme from 1 species